UAUAGUCCAUAUAAAAAAUAAAAUCAAAUCAAGCAGUAACGGCAAUUAACACCUAAUCUCUAUAGAAUUUCUUUGGAGAUAACGGCAAUUAACACCUAAUCUCUAUAGAAUUUCUUUGGAGAGAGAAACCACUCUCAUUUUCCUUCUUCGUUUUCUGCGGCUAGGUCCACUAGUUCUGCCACCUUGUGCAGCCAUCUCCUGCCCCUUAUGGGUAGGGGACGGCCACCGUCUUCUUUCCUAUUAAGAGAGUGUGGAUGGCUCCCUCCCCUCUCUGUGGGGUUGCGAAUAAAACUUUUUAUUUUUUAUUUUUUUUAUCUUUCUUCUCUAGUUCAAUACUUCUUUAUGAGGAUUUAUGUUGGAUCUGAUUGUUUUCUUAUUUAUGUUAUUUUUGUGGCCUUUCCUCUUAUAUGCACAUUGAUGUUAUGAAGAUUCAGAUGGUUUUUUACUCCUGCACAUUGAUUUUAUGAAGAUUCAGAUGGUUUUUUACUCCUGCAUAUGCCGAGUGAGAAGGUGGAUUCUUGGGAACCAUUAACCGAUUUCGACCGGUUAUGGGAUAAUCGAUCCUUAAAGGCUCUUCUCUGUAUCCUUUCUCAGACGAACAAAAAAAACAUUCCUUUAGUUUGCCCAAGACGCAAGCCUCCAGAAGAGCAAAUUCUGGCACAAACACCGGUAACGGCAUGUGAGAUCGCCCUGGCACUGGUAGUACGUGAAUAUUAGGUUUAUGCUUGGAAAUGAUUGUCGCUGUGGAGUUGCAUUCCAUAACUGAAGUUGACAGUUGAUACCUGACGUAGGACACUCUUAUCGGAAUCAUAAAUCAUAAAUAGUUUAAAAAUCUUAAGUCUGCUUGCAAUGGUUAAACGUGUCUGGCAAAGGCAGCGGCAGCGGCAGAGAAAGAAAAUGAGAAUUGCAACACCAGCCCCAUCCCACCCAAUUGUAAAGAUGGUCACACAUGAUUGGCUUAGCGAGACCACUAAGACCUUUUUUUUUUUUUUCUUUUUUUUAUCAUCAAAGGACCACCGAGAAUUUGUUAAGUGGAGAAUCAGAAAUGCCAUUUACAUUGCUUUUGGUGCU